rnacentral:rRNA from 1 species
UGCAAGUCGAACGACGCAAAUUAAUUAAAAUUAACUUGUUAGUUUCUAUUAAUUUGACGGAGUGGCGGACGGGUGAGUAAUGCGUAAGAACCUACCUAGUGGCGGGGGAUAACCACUGGAAACGGUGGCUAAUACCCCAUAUAGCUGAGAAGUGAAAGAUUUUAUUGCCACUGGACGGGCUUGCGUCUGAUUAGCUUGUUGGUGCGGUAAUGGCGUACCAAGGCAACGAUCAGUAGCUGGUUUGAGAGGAUGAUCAGCCACACUGGGACUGAGACACGGCCCAGACUCCUACGGGAGGCAGCAGUGAGGAAUUUUCCGCAAUGGGCUAACGUCUGACGGAGCAAUGCCGCGUGAAGGAUGAAGGCCCGUGGGUUGUAAACUUCUUUUCUCGGAAAAGACAUCGGACGGUAUCCGAGGAAUAAGCAUCGGCUAACUCUGUGCCAGCAGCCGCGGUAAUACAGAGGAUGCAAGCGUUAUCCGGAAUGAUUGGGCGUAAAGCGUCUGUAGGUGGUUUAUCAAGUCUGGUGUGAAAUAUCGGGGGCUUAACCCCGAACCCGCAUGGGAAACUGGUAGACUGGAGUAGGGUAGAGGCAAAGGGAAUUCCCGGUGGAGCGGUGAACUGCCUAAAGAUCGGGAGGAA